rnacentral:rRNA from 1 species
GACAGAGGAUGCAAACGUUGCUCGGAAUUACUGGGCGUAAAGCGCAUGUAGGCGGCUUGGUAAGUCGGACGUGAAAGCCCGGGGCUCAACCCCGGAAGCGCGCUCGAUACUGCCGAGCUUGGGUCCUGAAGAGGAGAGCGGAAUUCCCGGUGUAGAGGUGAAAUUCGUAGAUAUCGGGAGGAACACCAGUGGCGAAGGCGGCUCUCUGGGCAGGUACCGACGCUGAGAUGCGAAAGCGUGGGAAGCAAACAGG